rnacentral:miRNA from 1 species
GACGUCGAUAUUCGACGUCAUAAACACGAUCAACUUUGGUGUUUAUGACGUCGAUAUUCGACGUCAUAACACGAUCAACUUUGGUGUUUAUGGCGUCGAUAUUCGACGGCAUAAACACGAUCAACUAUAGUGUUGAUGACGUCGAUGUUCGACGUCAUAAACACCGUAUCAACUUAGAUAUUUAUGACGUUGAUAUUCGACGUCAUAAACACGAUCAACUUUGCGGUGUUUAUGACGUCGAUAUUCGAAGUC